GCCCCGCCGCGAGCGAGGGCGGGGACCGCUGCGCCUACCUGCCUUUCCCUCCAUAGGGACUUCCCAAAGGAAAGGAGGGCGUUUAGGGGCUUUCACACGCCUGAUCUUAAACACAGCGCCCUGACCCCUCCCCACCAAAAACGGCAAAAUGUCAUUUUUGGGGGCAAAUCUAAGGUUUUCCCUACAAUUGUUCAAGCUUUCACACUAAAACAUUUACCUAAAAACGGGCAGAAAUUCAGCCUUAAACCCACAAAUCUCACGAUGGUAUAGACCCUGGGCCCACUCAGGUUUCCUGAAAACUAAACAGUUCUGGAGUUAGGGGUUUGGAGAACGGGCUAUUGUUAAAGAAAAAAGUAUUUAGUGACACUUGUUAAAGCACAAAAAGAGGGCUUUAUUCAGGACCAUCGCAACAGGUAUAGGGACCACUGACUGCAAUGGAGACUUGCAGUAGGGAAAGAGAUAUUGGGCUCAACUCCUCAUACAGCAUGGGCAAGUGGAGAUUUAUAGCCAAGGAGCGGUGGUGCAUUAGUAUUACUACUGGGCUCCAAGUUCCUCAUCUGAAAUCUGUCUCCUCUGGAAAUACUUAUUUACAAGACGACGUUUCUUGUCACAACGCAGGUUUAAACAGCAGCUUUUAAAUGUUUACUGUGGGAAGAAUAGUCAAGGGAGUGGUGCGUUGGGAAGACAGACCAGAGUUUGCUGCUGGCACUGUUACGCAGGGACUGUUUGGCAUGACCUUCACUCCUUUUCUGGUUCUUUGGUCUUUCUAAGGUGGCCUCAAUUUCUUUAUCAGUAAAUAAGAUUAUCUCUGAGAUGUCAUUCACUCAAAUAGCCAUUUUAUAAAAAUCUACUUGCAUCUUCAACUUCA
rnacentral:lncRNA from 1 species